CCUACGGGAGGCAGCAGUGAGGAAUAUUGGUCAAUGGGCGCGAGCCUGAACCAGCCAAGUCGCGUGAGGGAAGACGGUCCUAUGGAUUGUAAACCUCUUUUGUCUGGGCGCAAAAGACGCCUCGCGUGGCGUUCCGAGAGUACCCGAAGAAAAAGCAUCGGCUAACUCCGUGCCAGCAGCCGCGGUAAUACGUAGGGAGCGAGCGUUAUCCGGAAUUAUUGGGCGUAAAGGGUGCGUAGAUGGCAUAGUAAGUCUUUUGUAAAAAUGCUGGGCUCAACCCAGUAGGGCAAAAGAUACUGAAAAGCUAGAGUAUGACAGAGGAAAGUGGAACUACAUGUGUAGCGGUAAAAUGCGUAAAUAUAUGUAAGAACACCAGUGGCGAAGGCGGCUUGCUGGGUCGAUACUGACAUUGAGGCACGAAAGCGUGGGGAGCAAACAGGAUUAGAUACCCCAGUAGUC
rnacentral:rRNA from 1 species